UCAAAGGCUCUUUUCAGAGCCACCCACUGGUUCANAUUAAAGAGUU
rfam:Neotoma lepida isolate 417 scaffold_765, whole genome shotgun sequence.